rnacentral:rRNA from 1 species
AUUGAACGCUGGCGGCAUGCCUUACACAUGCAAGUCGAACGGUAACAGGUCUUCGGAUGCUGACGAGUGGCGAACGGGUGAGUAAUGCAUCGGAACGUGCCCAGUAGUGGGGGAUAGCCCGGCGAAAGCCGGAUUAAUACCGCAUACGACCUGAGGGUGAAAGGGGGGGAUCGCAAGACCUCUCGCUAUUGGAGCGGCCGAUGUCAGAUUAGCUAGUUGGUGGGGUAAAGGCCUACCAAGGCAACGAUCUGUAGUUGGUCUGAGAGGACGACCAGCCACACUGGGACUGAGACACGGCCCAGAAUCCUACGGGAGGCAGCAGUGGGGAAUUUUGGACAAUGGGCGCAAGCCUGAUCCAGCAAUGCCGCGUGCAGGAAGAAGGCCUUCGGGUUGUAAACUGCUUUUGUCAGGGAAGAAAUCUUCUGGGUUAAUACCUCGGGAGGAUGACGGUACCUGAAGAAUAAGUACCGGCUAACUACGUGCCAGCAGCCGCGGUAAUAC